UACAGAGGGUGCGAGCGUUGUUCGGAAUUAUUGGGCGUAAAGGGUGCGUAGGCGGUCCAGCAAGUCGGGUGUGAAAGCCCUCGGCUUAACCGAGGAAGUGCAUUCGAAACUACUGGGCUUGAGUACUGAAGAGGAUCGCGGAAUUCCCGGUGUAGAGGUGAAAUUCGUAGAUAUCGGGAGGAACACCAGUGGCGAAGGCGGCGAUCUGGGCAGAUACUGACGCUGAGGUGCGAAAGCGUGGGGGAGCAAACAGG
rnacentral:rRNA from 1 species